rnacentral:rRNA from 1 species
UACGUAGGGGGCAAGCGUUGUUCGGAAUCACUGGGCUUAAAGGGCGCGUAGGCGGCUCAUCAAGUCGGGGGUGAAAUACUUCAGCUUAACUGGAGAAGUGCCUUCGAUACUGGUGGGCUUGAGGGAGGUAGGGGUCUUUGGAACUUCUGGUGGAGCGGUGAAAUGCGUUGAUAUCAGGAGGAACACCGGUGGCGAAGGCGGGUCUCUGGGCCGUAACUGACGCUGAGGCACGAAGGUCAGGGGAGCAAACGGG